rnacentral:rRNA from 1 species
AAAUUGAAGAGUUUGAUCAUGGCUCAGAUUGAACGCUGGCGGCAGGCCUAACACAUGCAAGUCGAACGGUAACAGGAAGAAGCUUGCUUCUUUGCUGACGAGUGGCGGACGGGUGAGUAAUGUCUGGGAAACUGCCUGAUGGAGGGGGAUAACUACUGGAA